ensembl:lncRNA
CUUUCCACAUGAACGAGCUGCGCGGAAAUGAGCCGCACGGAAAUCCGCGCUAGAGAACGUGUGUGCACUUAUACUCUGUGCGGCAUCUGCUCCCAAACUGCAGGGGGCAGUGUAUCGCAAACACACGUCUACCUGGUCUACUCUGGUACUUAGCUAGAGUAGAAGAAGUCUGCCAUUGUUUACACCACGUGUAAGUGCACGUAUUUCUAGACUUCAGCUACGAGUAGGUCCUCUGCCAUGUUUUUCUGCGCGGCUCCGUUAGAAAAAUGUGGAGGUGCACAGCGCGGAAAUUUUCCGCGUGAGAACGGCCGCUCGAGGGGGCGUGGCUGCUAAAAUGACGCAAUUUUUCGGCAGGGAGCCGCACGGACCUCGCGGACGCGGAAAGCAUAAAACAGGCUUUAAUGUCAUCAGUCGGGCUGAUUCUGUGCUGUGGUGAGAGCGGAAGCCAGAUGUAAAGUUUCUCAGAGAUGCAGAUUUCAUUCAGAGUGAAAGUAGCAGUUCCUCCUGAAGGUCAGAGAUUGCAGCAUCCGAGGGCCUCUUCAAAAGAAGACGUAGUUGAUGAAGGCUUUCUGGAGCAGGACCAGAAAGACCACGACCAAGCAGCCUUGAGAUCUUAGGCAGCGUCUCCCUCAGACCAAAGAACUACAGACUCUUCACAACCUGCUCAAACUCUUGGUACAGGACCUCACCACACGGGUCAAGAAGGUUUCCAUCUCAUUUCUACUCUGAAGCUCACCUUCUCCUGCUCAAACUGCUGACAAAUGUUUCUGCUGCUCUAAAGUCUGGUCUCUAGAACUUCCUAAAAACUCUCAAAGUCUCUUCUGCUGCAGGUUGCUUUGUAGAACUGUUCCAGAAAACCUCACUAAACCACAUGGAGGGGCCUCAAGAUAGUCGUCCAAAUGAAACCGUACAAAAACCAAACUAGCACAACCCAAACACUAAAGUCUCCUGCAGCCUACCAGAGAACCUCUGAGAACAGAGAAUCAGGACAGGAACUCUUACCUUCUGGACAACCAAGAAUACAGAAUGUGUCUGACCAAAAACCUCUGAAGACUCACUACAGCCAAGAUAAAGACACAACUCAGCUGCAGCAAAUCCACUAAUAACAGCACACAUUAGCACCUUGUGGUAACUGUGGCUAAAGAACCACAUUUACCAAGACAACUAUCCAGUACAAAGCCCUAAAACACACCAAGAAACACAUUAAAGACGAUUUUACUGCUGGAAGCUGCAAGCCCACACCUAUAGAACAAACUAAAGCAACAGAGCCAAACCCGGUUCAGUGGUGAAGAGAAUCUGAAGAAAUGUUUGUCUGCAGCUAAAUAAAGCAGGAAGACACUGAGCUGCUCAGGUGUUCCUGAUAACACCAAGCAGCCACCCGGACAGCCAAUAGGAACACAGCUUCCUGGAAGUCCAGAGGGCUGGCUUAGUCAAGGAAAUUUAGUUUAAAGUUGAAGCAGAAAGUUAACAAAGAAAGUUGAAAACCACCUUCUGAUCCUUGAAAUCUCUGAGUUUUCACACAAAGAACACCUGAACAUGUCAAACUGGUUCCAUAGUAGAACCAUCAUUGUAAAAACAACAUAGUAUGGUGUGUUGCUCAAAAAACAUUAGGACCCAGCUGUCUAGGGUCGCAGAGGAGCAACACAAAAACAGGACAAACGCUGGUUUCCAGGGGGAUAGGAGGAUAUUUAUUUGAAAGAGGAAGUUUACAACAACACAUGUGAGCAGAAAAAUCACAAAGUCUGUCUUUAGUUCAGCUGAAAAUAUUAGAUGAAGAAUAAUUAAGGCUCUCAUGUAGAAGUCCACCUUAUUUUGGAUCCUUGUGGAGAGUUUAAUCUUAGAGUUUGUAAAGCUGUUGAGUUUUUAGAGUCACAUCGAUUGUUUUGACAUUUAAUAACCGAGUCCUGAAAUAAAAUUACAGUUGUGGAUUUCUGUCAUUUAGUCUGGACUAAACAAAUAACACUAGCAUAAAUCUCAAACGUCAUUAUGAGGAGUCUGGAUUGAGGUUUCUCACUUGAUAAUGAUCAAAACAUGAUAUUUAGGUUGGUUUAAAGGAAUAUUCCACCUUAAAUCUUUGAAUGUUGACCUAAAAGGUUGGUUUCAGGAAGUAUUCCACCUACAAGGUCCUCACACAUCCACCUUAAAGGAACAUUCCACCAAAAAUCCUUGGACAUGCACCUAAAAUGUUGCUUUAACCAAGUAUUCCAUCCAAAAUCCUGAAAGAGACCUGAGGGGCUGGUUAAAAGGAAUAUUCCACCUAAAACCUCAAAUAUAGACCCCAAAGGGUGGUUUAGAAAAAAUCCUUCAAUGUAGACCAAAAAAGUUAGUAUGGAGGAAUAUUCCACCUGAAAUGUAGACCUGAGAAGUUGGUUUGGAAGAAUAUACCAUCCUAAACAUCCUUAAAUGUAGACUAAAAGACGGUUUGGAAGAAAAUUCCACCUGAAGUCCUCCAAUGUAGACCUAAAAAGUGAGUUUAAUGGUAUAUUCCACCUAAAAUUCACUACUGUAGACCUUGAAGGUUGGUCUGAUGGUAUAUUCCACCCAACAUCCUUGAACAUAAACUUAAAAAGUUCGUUCAAAGGAAUAUUCCACCUAAAAUCCUUCAAUGUAGACCAAAAAGUCGUGGUGUAAAGGAGUAUUCCACCUUAAAUGUAGACCUAAAGGAUGGUUUGGAGUAAUAUUCUACUCUAAAAUCUUCCAAUGUAGACCUAAAAGGUUGAUCUGAUGGUAUAUUCUACCCAACAUCCUGGAACAUUUACCUAAAAGGUUGGUUUAAUGGUAUAUUCCCAGAAGAACCCUUGAACAUUGGGCUUAAUGGUAUAUUCCACCCAAAAUACUUGUACAUAUACCAAGAAGUCAGUGUAAAGGAAAUGUAGACCUAAAAGGAUUGUUUAAAGGAAUAUUUAAAUGAUCAUUUUCAUUAUUUAAUAAUCUGUUAUCAGUCAGAACCCUGGCAAACUUAUUUUCUUCAGUUUUUUUUCGUGGAAGUCACAAAUAAAGGAGCUCUUGGUUUUUCCCAGCGUUACUGAGUCCAAAGCUGCUGUUUCAACACAGAACGUUCACAUGCAUCCACAAACCUCUCAGCACUCAAACACCCACAGACAGGAGGCUGGCUGGACCGAGGCUCGGCGGCGUCCUCAGACCCACAAGUCGGGGAGUUGCUAAACUUGUUGGUCCGGUUUGAAGGCCUCCGUGUGGUCCAGUAGAAGUCCAUGUAGUCGGUGUUGGCUUUGAACCGCAGCGACUGGCCAUCAUCAGGUGGACCAGCUCGUCCUCGUAGGGCUCCUCCUGUAGCCUUGAGGGAACCACAGGAACAUUCAGUAGCUGUUGGAGUUCUUCCUGUCAGGCUCGUGGUAGAACGGCUCUGAACAAUCUUGUACUUGUCU